rnacentral:rRNA from 1 species
AACGAACGCUGGCGGCAGGCUUAACACAUGCAAGUCGAACGCCCCGCAAGGGGGAGUGGCAGACGGGUGAGUAACGCGUGGGAACGUGCCUUUCGGUUCGGAACAGACCCGGGAAACUGGGAUUAAUACCGGAUACGUCCUUACGGGAGAAAGAUUUAUCGCCGAAAGAUCGGCCCGCGUCUGAUUAGCUAGUUGGCGGGGUAAUGGCCCACCAAGGCGACGAUCAGUAGCUGGUCUGAGAGGAUGAUCAGCCACACUGGGACUGAGACACGGCCCAGACUCCUACGGGGAGGCAGCAGUGGGGAAUAUUGGACAAUGGGCGCAAGCCUGAUCCAGCCAUGCCGCGUGAGUGAUGAAGG